rnacentral:rRNA from 1 species
UACGGGGGGGCAAGCGUUGUUCGGAAUUACUGGGCGUAAAGGGUCUGUAGGUGGCCAACUAAGUCAGACGUGAAAUCCCUCAGCUUAACUGGGGAACUGCGUCUGAUACUGGUUGGCUUGAGUGCAGGAGAGGAAUGCGGAAUUCCAGGUGUAGCGGUGAAAUGCGUAGAUAUCUGGAGGAAUACCGGUGGCGAAGGCGGCAUCCUGGACCGGCAUUGACGCUGAGGAGCGAAAGCUAGGGGAGCAAACGGGG